rnacentral:lncRNA from 1 species
UGAAAACGAUGCUUCUUAUGACCUGAUAAGGUCAAGAGAACAAUUAGUGAAGAAGAGAAAGGGCGCCAAAAUCAAUCCGCCGCCAUAUUGGGAUCUACAACUUCUGACCAUUGCAACUCUCCAUUGUUAUUCAUCUUGUUAAAUUCAUUGAUGAUAGGUAAGCACAACUUGGAUGAUGGACUAGUCACUUGGUUUGGUGUGACUUAUGCAUGUUUAUGUAUGACGUAUCUGCUGCUUGUACAUGGUAAUGAACUGCUUAGCUUUCUUCUAUUGUACAUGUCACUUUGUUAAAUUGCUCAAUGUAAUUAUCCUUCCUAUACGGGUUCCGUUAAUACAAUAUAUUACUUGUUCGGAUAUAGAUCUUAUAACUCUACAUAAGAUCUAUUUUGAAUCCAAACUCAAUUUAGGUUUUGUUAAUAAUACUUCAAGGAUUUUUAGAUAUCACCUCAAAAUUAACAUGAAAUUAAGGUCGAGUACCCGUUCAAGUUUAGAUAAUAUGCAUAACAUGAAAGACUGUCCUAUUAGAUCUAUUCAGGUACUUACAGAUCGGAUACUUUUGGUUCGGGUUUGGUUUUGAUCUCGAAUUCACUUACAAAUGCUCGAUGUUAAUUCUCCCUUAGCAUGUUUGUUUCAGUUGCGUUCAAUCUACGUAUAGGAGGUGAUGACAGAUACUUGUCUCUGUUGUUUAAGCAAGAAGAAUAGACUAUAGGUAAAAGAAGCAAAAUAAUAUUACAGAAUCUCUUGGAAUGGUUUGUGAUUGGACAUAGGGAGAAACAAGUCUUUGAAUAGGUAGCAAAGUAGAAAGCCAAGUGACCACUUCAGAAUAUGAGAAACUUUAUUCAUUACAUGUUCUGUGUUAUUGGUUUCUCUGGCUGUUUUGGUCUCUCUAUAACCUGGCCAAAGGACGUGUGGGGUGUCCCAUUCGGUGGUAAUGUGGUUACAGGUGAUUUCACUGAGAGUCCUGCAGCCACUUAGUGCCAUAUUGUCAGCUCAAACUCAUCGCGUAGCAUUUGAAGCACCUUUCUGACUCCAGCCUCUCCUUCAGCA